AGGGAACUGCUGCUGCUGAUAUA
rnacentral:miRNA from 2 species